rnacentral:lncRNA from 1 species
GUUGUCCUAUUUCAUCCAACAAAGCAGGGAAUUUUCUCUUAUAUUUGCAGAGUAAAGGUGUGAUGAGAAUAGACAAGUUGAAAGCACCAGAAGAGACCACAGGUGAAUGAGCGAAGCAACUGUUCAUUUAAGGGGACAAUUACAUUGAUGAGGAUUGAAGAUAAGAUGGUUUAUUCUCCAUCCAAUGCAUCAAGAGAAUGAUAUGGAGGUCUCUAUCCCUGAGGCUUAUCUGCUUUGGAACCUGCAACAGGAAAAGAGCCAAGUAUUUGGCUAUGAACAUGUGUCCCUGAGGACUCAGGUGAUAAAUAAUGAUAACCUGUCAAGCUGGUGUUCUGCCUUAAGUUACUGGGAACUUCAGAGUGAAGCAAAUGUGCUGUGGUGGAUGAGCCUAGUGCCCAGACAUUGUACUAAAGAGCUUAAAGGCGGCUGAAGAAUUUGUAGCUUCUUGGGUUCUCCAUAUAGUGGUUCAUCUGUUUGAUUUUUCUUCUUGCAAUGAAAUCACAGUCUUUUACCACUGACAUGCCUGUAUAAUUAUCAGGUUAUGAAAACAGACUAUAGAUGAAAGUGAAGUGGAAAAAGAGAAAUAAAUGUGCUGGUUGCAUGAGUGCUGUCA